UAUCAUAAAAUUACCAGUUAACACAUACAUGUACUUUCAUUUGUGUGCAUUUUCUCUGAUACUUUUUUCAAUUUGCUCUGACAAGAUGUUCAUGCUAGCAAACUUCUUAUAAUGCUUAUUUAAUGAUAAUUUUGUUCACAGUUAGAACUGGUUUGGAGGGACUAGAAGUUACUGUAGCUCAGAAAGUUUGGUAUUGUACAAUCUUUUUCUGCUUUUCGAAGAUGGGAUGAUACUGAGAAGAGGUCAUUAGCACAUCGUAUAUGGAUCUUGCUACAACGCAUAGAAGGAAUUUACAGAGCUACUUCAUU